AACGCGUUUCGUUAGGCACGCGCACAAAUUCAAAACAGACCGCAAUGGUAACGUAUAGUUAGUAUCGCGGAAGUAUUUGGUCGAUCGUAGAGAUGUUUUAUUAAUCCUUACUGAUAUAAUAAUUCAUUAUUAUAUAAUUAAAUUGUUAUUAUAUUGUUGAGGUAACACGAACGAGACCCGACUAUCGCCAUUCCAUUGACAAAAUUUGAAAGAAAUCUGCAAAGAGAUUACAAGAUAUUUAGCGCAUCUUUUAAAAUAAACUUCAACAUUCGGCGAAACUAUCUUCAACGAUUGUUAAUAUUCGCGCUGUGAAAUAAUUUUUUUACCAAAUAUAUGUUUGCGUUUUUCAAAGUCUACGAUAUACAGAAGCGGCGAAAUAUUUACCACAAGCUUCACAGAAAUUACCAAAGUACUUAAACGCUCGAUUAUUCGCUAUCUCGCUACUACUCAAACAAUACUUAGCGAGACUAUCUUUGACACUAAUUAUAUGCUCAAGGCUACCAUUCGUGCGGUAUACUAACAUUCUAUGAAAUAUAUAUUUCGACUAAAUAUCUUCGAACUUCCAUAUAAAUUGUCAGAUCGGUUUCAAAUUUGACCAGUAUGAUCGGAGCAGACGUAUCCCGUUACACUGAAGUUUCGAAAUGUAUUAUCUAACACGUACACAAUAUACGCAUACAUCGAUGUUUUCUAUCGCAAGUGUUCGAAUUACUUUCGACGGCCACUGUAUAUGUGCGAGCGACAAAGUAAAUCUGUAUUCAUAGAGCACGACAGGACGACGAAAGGCGACUCAAUAGACCAGCCACGGACGAGUGGAACAAAUCGAACGGAGGAUGCUUUAUAUAGCGAAAGAACGCGUAUAUCGCGUAUUGCGUCUUCGAAUGGACAGUCCUCGGACGGAAACCGCGUCGCGUUGAUUUAUAAUGCGAUACCUAUUGACGGCUGUCCAUGGAAAACAAGGUAAAUGAAUGUGUCUGUAUGCAAGGUUAUUGUGCGAAGUAUUCAGUUGAAAUGUGGAGUAAAAUAACCAGACGUCUAUAAUGCCGCUGUCUGCAAGAGACUCAAAGGGGAGAUGGAGUUACUUGGCUUAUUCCGAAAUUGGGUAUCGGUAAUUGAUUUGACGUGGAUUGAAGGUGUUUGAGGAAUUGAGUUAGCGUUUCUCUUGGCAUUUUUCUUUUGAUUUUUUGUUUCUCGAACGAAUAAAGGAAUACUUUUGGGCAUGAAAGAUAAUAAUUGAAAUAAUGAAAAAAUUUCAUGAUAAUAUGGGUGAUUUUUUAACGUGUUUGAAGUAUAUUGAAUAGGUUUGAAGAUCUGAGGUUUUGGAAUAACGAACUCUCUUUCUUGCACGGUAAAAAAGUAGCGAAAAGAAGCAAUCGACGGAAGCCAAUCUAUCGUUGAUCGAAGUCGAUCUACGUCAGAAAUAACAAACUAAAUAGCGAAAAAAGGAUUUGAGUAACCGCAACGUGGAUAACCUAUUGGAAGUAAAACUUGCAGCGAGGAAAAAGUGGAAAAGCAAAAAAAAAACUGCAAGAUAAAGUCGUGACGAAUGGAAGAAAGGUCUGGUGCAUCGACAAUGAUCAUGUUACUACGUCGGAAAUUCUGUCUUCAAUUGAAGAUAACAUCUACUGCUGCCUACGAUCGUGCGGUAAGUUGCUUAAGUUGCAAAGCAAGAAACUGCACAGGGGAAUCACGUGCAACGUGAUUAGGAAAUUUUCCUUGGAGAACAAAUCAGAAGGAAACGGUAGCUGACGAGUUUAAGUUAAACGAACCUAAUGUUACGGUUACGGGAUUAAAUGUCUCAAUUAAGAAAAAGGUUUAUUCUGCUGAUAAAACAAGCGCGAAAGAAUACACAAUUAGAAAAUCGUAUAUUUAUUGUCUAUGCAUUAUCUUGAUUAAUAAAAUACCUGUGAGAAAAUACUAUUUGCUUAUUUAAUUAACACAUGGGAGAGUUUUGUUGUAGUCUAAAUAUUUUUAUAUUAAAAUGUAAUUCAGGAAAAAUAUCUUUUAAAAAUUGUAAAUAUACAAUGUAAAAAAUCUGUAGUGCAAUACA